CACGUAGUUGGCCGGUCCUUCUUCUGUACCUACCGUCACUCCCCAAAGGAUCGCUUCGUCGGUACUGAAAGAGGUUUACAACCCGAAGGCCGUCAUCCCUCACGCGGCGUUGCUGGAUCAGGCUUCCGCCCAUUGUCCAAUAUUCCCCACUGCUGCCUCCCGUAGGAGUCUGGGCCGUGUCUCAGUCCCAGUGUGACCGGUCACCCUCUCAGGCCAGCUACCCGUCAAAGCCUUGGUAAGCCAUUACCUCACCAACAAGCUGAUAGGCCGCGAGCACAUCCUGCGCCGAAAAACUUUUCACACCACCACAUGCGUGACAGCGUCAUAUCCGGUAUUAAUCACCGUUUCCGGUGGCUAUCCCAGAGCACAGGGCAGAUUACUCACGUGUUACUCACCCGUUCGCCGCUCGAGUACCCCCGAAGACGGCCUUUCCGCUCGACUUGCAUGUGUUAAGCACGCCGCCAGCGUUCGUCCUGAGCCAGGAUCAAACUCU
rnacentral:rRNA from 1 species